rnacentral:lncRNA from 1 species
GGAUUACAAGUAUGUGCCACCACACACGGCUAAUUUUUGUAUUUUUAAUAGAGACGAAGUUUCACCAUGUUGGCCAGGCUGGUCUCAAACCCCUGACCUCAAGUGAUCUGCCCACCUCAGCCUCCCAAAGUGCUGGGAUUAGAGGAGUGAGCCACCAUGUGCGGCCAGUUUAUAUAACUUUUAUUUUAUUUUAUUUUAUUUAUUUAUUUAUUUUGAGACGGAGUCUCACUUUUGUUGCCCAGGCUGGAGUGCAAUGGUGAGAUCUCGGUUCACUGCAACUUUCACCUCCCUGGUUCAAGCGAUUCUUCUGCCCCAGCCUCCCAAGUAGCUAGGAUUACAGGCACACACCACCACCCCCAGCUAAUUUUUGUAUUUUUAGUAGAGACGGGGUUUCACCAUGUUGACCAGGCUGGUCUUGAACUUCUGACCUCAGGUGAUCCACCCGCUUCGGCCUCCCAAAGUGCUGGGAUUGUAAGCAUGACCCACUGUGCCUGGCCAACUUUUUAUUUUUAUUAUUUAUUUGGAGACAAGAGUCUCGCUCUGUCGCCCAGUCUGUAGUGCAGUGGCAGGAUUUUGGCUCACUGCAACCUCCACCUCCUGGGUUCAAGAGAUUCUCCUGCCUCAGCCUCCCGAGUAGCUGAGAUUACAGGCGCAUGCCACCACACCCAGCUAAUUUUUGUAUAUUUAGUAGAGACCGGGUUUCAUUAUGUUGGCCAGGCUGGUCUCAAACUCCUGACCUCAGGUGAUCCACCUGCCUCGGCCUCCCAAAGUGCUGGGAUUACAGACGUGAGGCACCGCACCUGGCCUAUAUAACUUUUUUAAAAAGUUGUUGUGUUAUGUAUGGGGGGCUGUAUUGAAGGUUUUUAAGCAGAGGAAUGACAUGAUCUGAUUUUCAUUUUAGAAGAAUCAUUCUGGCUGCUAUGCUUCAAAUAGACUGCAGGGAGCAAAGAUAGAAGAAAAGAUAAAAGCAGGGAGUCUAUUUCAGUAAUCCAGGAGAGAGAUAAUAGUGGCUUGCAGCAGGAGACAGCAGUGGUGGGAGUGAAUGGUGGUCAGAUUCUGGAUAUAUUUUUGCAGGAAGACAGAUUGCACGUGGGGUAUGAGAGAAAGAAAGGAGUUCAGAUUAACUCCAAGUUUUUUAGAUUUGAACAAUGAAGGAUGAUGUUGACAUCAAGUGACAGGGAAAAGGCUAAAGAUGGAGCAGGUUUGGAAAGAGAAAAGAACAAGAGGUCAGUUUGGAGAUAAUAAGUUUGAGAUAUCAAUUAAGUAUCCACAUGGAGAUGUCCAGAAGGCUGUUGAAUAGAUGAGUCUGGAGUUCUGGAGUGAACAGGCAGGCAUUAGAAAUAUAAAUUUGGAAAUUAUUAGCAUAUGGAUGGUUUGUAAAGCCAGGAGACUGAGUGAGAUUACAAAGGGAGAUACAGACAAAGAGAAGAGAACCAAGACUCAGAAGAAGGAGCAUUUCAACAUGAAGAGCACUUACCAUGCACCAGUAACUAUCUUCAAAUGGAAAGGUUAAAAGAAGAACGGUCAAGAGUGAAACUAAAGCCAAGGCAGAGCCAGAAGAACACAGUUAAAAUGAGUAACACAACAGGGGCUAGAAAGUCUAUCCCUCCCUUGGGCCCUAGAAGAGAGAACUGGAUAUG